rnacentral:rRNA from 1 species
AGGACGAACGCUGGCGGCGUGCUUAACACAUGCAAGUCGAGCGGAAAGGCCCUUCGGGGUACUCGAGCGGCGAACGGGUGAGUAACACGUGAGUAACCUGCCCUGGACUUUGGGAUAACCCUCGGAAACGGGGGCUAAUACCGAAUAUUACUUCCCCUCGCAUGGGGGGUGGUGGAAAGUUUUUCGGUCUGGGAUGGGCUCGCGGCCUAUCAGCUUGUUGGUGGGGUAAUGGCCUACCAAGGCGACGACGGGUAGCC